GGGGCUGAUUCUGGAUUCGACGGGAUUUGCGAAACCCAAGGUGCAUGCCGAGGGGCGGUUGGCCUCGUAAAAAGCCGCAAAAAAUAGUCGCAAACGACGAAAACUACGCUUUAGCAGCUUAAUAACCUGCUCUGAGCCCUCUCUCCCUAGCUUCCGCUCUUAAGACGGGGAUCAAAGCCUGCCUGGGGUUGAAGCGUUAAAUCUAAUCAGGCUAGUUUGUUAGUGGCGUGUCUGUCCGCAGCUGGCAAGCGAAUGUAAAGACUGACUAAGCAUGUAGUGCCGAGGAUGUAGGAAUUUCGGACGCGGGUUCAACUCCCGCCAGCUCCACCA
rnacentral:tmRNA from 1 species